CAGCACGGAGCGUCCGAGGCUCUGCUGGAGUCAGCGCCCGGCAGCUACCGCGACCGAGUCUGGGGGGACAGACUUGGCAGACCCGUUGGGCCAGUGUGACCUCAUACGCGGCCCUUCUGCUUCAGAGACACAGGCGGCUCUGACUCCCACACCCCUGCAGAGGCUGCUGUGGUCGUCAGGCGACAGGGCUCUGCGGAAGAGUACACGCAGAGCCACUCCAGGCCAGGCCAGGAGGCCAUCCAAGGGCAUGGGAGCCCUGGGAAACGCUCAGCGGCUUUUAUACCCGUUUGUCUCAACUGUUCUUGACCUGCUCUUCAACCCCGAGCUACGUCCCAUCGCUUCAACCAACCGAAGGAAUGCUUCCUAGAACUAGAUGGCCGUCUCACCUUUAAGCAAGGGGUGAUGUGAAAAAUGGCCGGCUGGAAGAUGCUUCUGCUUGUUUCUUUAUAUGUCCGUACACAGGAAACCCAGAGGCCAUAGCUUAGAGACUAUUUGUUUAUCCUUUGUUGGUGCUACUUUAAAAAAUAAACAAAGCACAUAAGCAGAUUGCCUUUGGGUCAGGGAUGACUCCAGACUUACCCUAUUUCCAUCUGCUUUGAACUCUUCAAGCGUUGGUCCCUUCCUCUACACACGCGCACACACACGCAGACCCAGGCCCAGCCCCAUGUGGCUUGGAGACCCAGCGCUGGCCUGUCCAUUCUAACUCCUCACACCGCCCACACCCCCUGGACAUCUCCCACAACUCCCACGUCAUCCCGGCCCCCACUUUCCAAGCGAGGGAAAUUGGACAGCUCCUGAAUGCCACCCAGCCUUUUUAUGACCCCUGUUGGUAAUGGAGAAAAAACAAGCUCAACAGUCAGACAGAUGUGAUUUUAAAUUCCGGGCUUACAUAAACUAGUCAAAUGAAUGUGGGCCCCCACUUCAACUUCUCCAAACAUCAAUUUCUCCUUGUGAAAAUAGAGAUAUGAGACCUGGUCUGCAGUGGACCCAUCUUAGCUGCUUUUUGCUGCUCUGUCCAUGGAUGCAUUUGAAGGAGGAGGGGAUCAGGGUGUACAGGGAGAGACGCCUGGGGUGCACACGCAGAGCCGGCGCCACGUGAGGACACAGCGAGAAGGCGCUGUCUGCAAGCCAAGGAGAGAGGUCUCAGGAGAAACUAGCCCUGCCCACACCUUGGUCUUGGACGUCCAGCCUCCAGAACUGUGAGGAAACAGAUGUCUGUUGUUUAAGCCCCCGUCUGUGGUACUUUGUUGUGGUGGG
rnacentral:lncRNA from 1 species